rnacentral:lncRNA from 1 species
ACAGCUAUUCUUAGCCCUGACCUUUGCUAUGGGCCAAACCCGGCCCCACAACUUCCAAUAGGGGACCCGAAAAGGGGUCUGUCUGGGACCUAUAGGUUUCCCUUUUUUGGGGGGGGUCCCCUAUAGGGGAUACGUGGAUUUGGAUCAAGUAGGGCCCCUUGUAGGAAUCGAGGGGCCCUAUAGGGGUCCUGUUAGGGAUUGAAGGCCUCUAUGGGGCCUCUAUGGGGUUCCUAUAGGAGAAUUAAGGUCACUGGAGGGUCCCUAUAGGGUCCCUAUAGCGGAAUGGAGCCCGGAGGGGGCACCUAUAGGGUUCCUAUGAGGGAAUUGAGGCCACUGAGGAUCCCUAUAGGAUUCCUGUUUAGGAUUGAGAGCUCCUAUGGGGUUUCUAUGGAGUCCCUAUAGGAGAACAACGGCGGCUGGGUGUCCCCAUGGGGUUUCUAUAGGGCUUCUCGGGGUCUGAUGGCCCCUAUGGGGUCCCUAUAGGGGAUUGAAGGCCACUGGGGGUCCUUAUGGGGGUCCUAUAGAGUUCCUAUAGGAGAAGGGGGGUCAAUAAGGGCCCCUAUGGGGUUUCUAUAGGGUCACUAUAAGGGAAUAAAGGCCACUUUCGGCCCUUAUGGGGUUCCUAUGGGAGUCAGUGAAGGCCCCUAUGGGGUUUCUAUAGGGUCACUAUAAGGGAAUGAAGGCCACUGGGGGUCCCCAUGGAGUUCCUAUAGGAGAAUGGGGGUCAGUGAGGGCCCCUAUGGGGUUUCUAUAGGGUCACUAUAAGGGAAUAAAGGCCACUUUCGGCCCUUAUGGGGUUCCUAUGGGAGAAUGGGGGUCUGUGAAGGCCCCUAUGAGGUUUCUAUAGGGUCACUAUAAGGGAAUAAAGGCCACUUUGGGAGUCCUUAUGGGGUUCCUAUGGGAGAAUGGGGGUCUGUGAAGGCCCCUAUGGGGUUUCUAUAGGGCCCCUAUAGGGGAAUAAAGGCCACUGGGGGUCUCUAUGGGGUUCCCAGAGGGGAAUGGGUGUCAGUGAGGGCCCCUAUGGGGUUUCUAUAGGGUCACUAUAAGGGAAUAAAGGCCACUGGGGGUCCUUAUAGGGUUCCCAUAGGGGAAUGGGGGUGAGUGAGCACCCCUGUGAGGAUCCUAUAGGGUCCUCAUAAGCGAAAAGAACCCGGUGGGGAUUCCUAUAGGGUCCCUGUUAAUGGCUGAGGGCCUUUAUGGGGUUCCUAUGAGGUCCCUCACCCGUCCAUAGGCGCCGCCGCCGCCCCUAUAGUGCUCCCAGCGAGGGACCCCCCCAAACCCGCCCCCCCAUUAGUUCCUUCCGCCUUUUGCCCCGCCCCUUCCGGCGCCGAGCCAAUCAGCGCGCCCCGGCGGGAGGAGUGGGCGGGGACACGAAGCUAUAAAG